CGUGGGGAACCUCGCCCCAUAGUCUGGGAUACCACUUGGAAACAGGUGCUAAUACCGGAUAAGAAAGCGGAUCGCAUGAUCAGCUUUUAAAAGGCGGCGUAAGCUGUCGCUAUGGGAUGGCCCCGCGGUGCAUUAGCUAGUUGGUAAGGUAAAGGCUUACCAAGGCGAUGAUGCAUAGCCGAGUUGAGAGACUGAUCGGCCACAUUGGGACUGAGACACGGCCCAAACUCCUACGGGAGGCAGCAGCG
rnacentral:rRNA from 1 species